UACGGAGGGUGCAAGUGUUAUCCGGAAUCACUGGGCGUAAAGCGUCUGUAGGUGGUUUGCUAAGUCGGCUGUUAAAGCUUGAAGCUCAACUUCAAAAAUGCAGCAGAAACUAGUAGACUUGAGUAUGGUAGGGGUAGAGGGAAUUUCCAGUGAAGUGGUGAAAUGCGUAGAUAUUGGAAAGACCACCAAUGGCGAAGGCGCUCUACUGGGCCAUAACUGACGCUGAGGCACGAAAGUGCGGGGAUCAAACAGG
rnacentral:rRNA from 1 species